rnacentral:rRNA from 1 species
GACGAACGCUGGCGGCGUGCUUAACACAUGCAAGUCGAACGGCAAGGCCCUGCUUUCGUGGGGUGCUCGAGUGGCGAACGGGUGAGUAACACGUGAGUAACCUGCCCUUGACUUUGGGAUAACUUCAGGAAACUGGGGCUAAUCCCGGAUAGGAGCUCCUGCUGCAUGGUGGGGGUUGGAACGUUUCGGCGGUUGGGGAUGGACUCGCGGCUUAUCAGCUUGUUGGUGGGGUAGUGGCUUACCAAGGCUUUGACGGGUAGCCGGCCUGAGAGGGUGACCGGCCACAUUGGGACUGAGAGACGGCCCAGACGCCAACGGGAGGCAGCAGGGGGGAAUAUUGCACAAUGGGCGGAAGCCUGAUGCAGCAACGCCGCGUGCGGGAUGACGGCCUUCGGGUUGUAAAAAGCUUUCGCCUGUGACGAAGCGGGAGUGACGGUAAUGGGUGAAGAAGCACCGGCUAACUACGUG